rnacentral:rRNA from 1 species
UACGGGAGGGGGCUAGCGUUGUUCGGAAUUACUGGGCGUAAAGCGCACGUAGGCGGCUUUGUGAAGAUUUACGGAGGUGAAAAGCCCGGGGCUCAACUCCGGAAUUGACCUUUAAGACUGCAUCGCUAGAAUUGUGGAGAGGUAAGUGGAAUUACCGAGUGUAGAGGUGAAAUUCGUAGAUAUUACGGAAGAACACCGAGUGCGAAGGCGG